GUUUGUUUUGUCAGUCUCUUUUAAAGACAUAACAGAAGUACAGAAUUACAACACUGUGACGGUCACAUUAAAACGAUGUUUCACAUUGUGGAAUUUGCAGACAAAAAGGUUGCAGUAGUCCCAGCUGUUUGGGUAUCGAAUGGAAUCUGUAGCUGGCCCCCAUACAAAAAUGGAAACGAGAUGAGCAAGGCAGUGAAAAAGCAAGAAAUUCCGAAUCCAGACUGGGCAAAAUACGCUGUCAUAGUGAGAUGCACGAAAAAUUCAUACGAUGCUAUAAGGCCUAAAUUAGCACUGGCUGAACAGCAAAGUGAUCUGCAAACAGAGAGUGAAGAUGACACAAUGCCCUCAUACAAAAGAAGGAAA